GAGAAUGUUGGCAUGAGUAGCGAGAUGUGGGUGAGAAUCCCACAGGCCGUAAACCCAAGGUUUCCAGGGGAAGGUUCGUCCGCCCUGGGGUAGUCGGGACCUAAGCUGAGGCCGAAAGGCGUAGGGGAUGGACAACAGGUUGAUAUUCCUGUACUACCGAUAACCGUUUGAGGGAAGGAAUUGAACAGUAGGCUAUGCUGAGCACCCUGUUGGUUAUGCUUGCCCAAGCAUCGGGUCAGGACCAGUGGGGAAGACCGCGUUGGGAAUGCGGGG
rnacentral:rRNA from 1 species